rnacentral:rRNA from 1 species
AAUCAACGCUGGCGGCGCGCCUAACACAUGCAAGUCGAACGAGAAAGCCGCAAGGUGAGUAAAGUGGCGUACGGGUGAGUAACACGUGGAUUAUCUGCCCUUUAGUGGGGAAUACCGCUGGGAAACCGGCGACAAUACCGCAUAAGCUCGAGAGAGGAAAGCAGCAAUGCGCUGAAGGAGGAGUCCGCGGCUGAUUAGCUAGUUGGUAGGGUAAAAGCCUACCAAGGCUGUGAUCGGUAGCCGGCCUGAGAGGGCACACGGCCACACUGG